rnacentral:rRNA from 1 species
GAUUCCCCUAGUACUGCGAGUGAAGCGGGAAAAGCUCAAAUUUAAAAUCUGGCGGUCUUUGGCCGUCCGAGUUGUAGUCUGGAGAAGCGUCUUCCGCGUUGGACCGUGUACAAGUCUCUUGGAACAGAGCGUCAUAGAGGGUGAGAAUCCCGUCUUUGACACGGACUACCAAUGCUUUGUGAUGCGCUCUCAAAGAGUCGCGUUGUUUGGGAAUGCAGCGCAAAAUGGGAGGUGAAUUCCUUCUAAAGCUAAAUAUUGGCGAGAGACCGAUAGCGAACAAGUACCGUGAGGGAAAGAUGAAAAGCACUUUGGAAAGAGAGUUAAACAGUACGUGAAAUUGCUGAAAGGGAAACGCUUGAAGUCAGUCGCGUCGUCCGGAACUCAGCCUUGCUUCGGCUUGGUGCACUUUCCGGUUGACGGGCCAGCAUCGAUUUUGACCGCUGGAAAAGGGCUGGAGGAAUGUGGCACCUUCGGGUGUGUUAUAGCCUUCAGUCGCAUACAGCGGUUGGGAUCGAGGAACGCAGCACGCCUUAUGGCUGGGGUUCGCCCACAUUCGUGCUUAGGAUGCUGGCAUAAUGGCUUUAAACGACCCGUCUUGAAACACGGACCAA